UGCGCAGGCGGACUAAUAAGUCAGAGGUGAAAGCCCACAGCUUAACUGUGGAACUGCCUUUGAUACUGUUAGUCUUGAGUGCAGUUGAGGUAGGCGGAAUGUGUUAUGUAGCGGUGAAAUGCUUAGAUAUGACACAGAACACCAAUCGUGAAGACAGCUUACCAAGCUGCUACUGACGCUCAGGCACGAAAGCGUGGGGAGCGAACAGGAUUAGAUACCCUGGUAGUCC
rnacentral:rRNA from 1 species